rnacentral:lncRNA from 1 species
GAAGAAUUCCAACAGUGUCUGCCAGUGUCCGGGUCAGCACGCCUGUAUUAGGUCACAAUAAUGGCUGCUGCCAAUGUCUCAGUCCCUAGAGAGGUCUCACUUCUCACCAAAAUGCACCCAAAGCCUAUCAGAAAAAAAAGAUCUGGGCAAAGUAAUAUUUGUGAAGAUGAAGACACUACACAGUAAAAUCACAUCAAGAGAAUGUUAUCAACCUCUUUUUAACUAAAAGAAUGAAAAUGAAAUGAAAAGGAAUAUUUCAUUGACCUCUUAAAAUUAAUCAAAGACUUUAAAGGUGCAAUUCAGUUACCAGAAGUAAUGAAAGGAAUGGAACCGGCAAGGAACCGAGAUACAACCUGCUCUCAAGGAGGCUGGACUAGGUCAUUCCAGAUUUGCAUCAGCUCUGGGGAUCAUGGCAGUCAGACUAUGGGAUCUUACCCUAGUGCUGACCAUUAACGUAAAACAGUUCUCUGUUGGUCUUUGGUUAUUUUUCUGUGUUUUCUCCUCCACUUCUUACCAUCUGGAUUUACUCUGCAUCUUUUUUCUACCUCACAGCUUUUCCUUCGUUGUAGCUCUAGUGCAUGCCCCUUGGCAUCACGAUAAUCAUGAUCA